rnacentral:misc_RNA from 1 species
GAUGAAGAACGUAGCGAAAUGCGAUACUUGGUGUGAAUUGCAGAAUCCCGUGAACCAUCGUGUCUUUGAACGCAAGUUGCGCCCGAAGCCAUUAGGCCGAGGGCACGCCUGCCUGGGCGUCACACGUCGUUGCCCCCCCAUCUACUCCUUCGGGAUUGCGGGGGGCGGAUGAUGGCCUCCCGUGCGCCUCGUCGCGCGGUUGGCAUAAAUGCCAAGUCCUCGGCGACGCACGCCACGACAAUCGGUGGUUGCGAAACCUCGGUUGCCCGUCGUGUGCGGUCGUCGCGCAUCGAGGGCUCGAAAAAAUUGCCGGGCUCCGGCUCGGCUUUCAACGCGACCCCAGGUCAGGCGGGGUUACCCGCUGAAUUUAAGCAUAUCAAUAAGCGGAGGA